GUAGGUGGCAAGCGUUGUCCGGAAUUAUUGGGCGUAAAGCGCGCGCAGGCGGUUUUUAAGGUCUGAUGUGAAAGCCCACGGGCUCAACCGUGGAGGGUCAUUGGAAACUGGAGAACUUGAGUACAGAAGAGGAAAGCGGAAUUCCACGUGUAGCGGUGAAAUGCGUAGAGAUGUGGAGGAACACCAGUGGCGAAGGCGGCUUUCUGGUCUGUAACUGACGCUGAGGCGCGAAAGCGUGGGGAGCAAACAGGAUUAGAUACCCUGGUAGUCCACGCCGUAAACGAUGAGUGCUAAGUGUUAGGGGGUUUCCGCCCCUUAGUGCUGCAGCUAACGCAUUAAGCACUCCGCCUGGGGAGUACGGCCGCAAAGGCUG
rnacentral:rRNA from 1 species